rnacentral:rRNA from 1 species
UCGAGGGGUAGAGUAGCAAUACUUGAGACCGGCGCACGGGUGCGUAACGCGUAUGCAAUCUACCUUUUACAGAGGGAUAGCCCAGAGAAAUUUGGAUUGAUACCUCAUAGUAUUAUGAAAUGGCAUCAUUUUAUAAUUAAAGUUACAACGGUAAAAGAUGAGCAUGCGUCCCAUUAGCUAGUUGGUGUGGUAACGGCAUACCAAGGCAACGAUGGGUAGGGGUCCUGAGAGGGAGAUCCCCCACACUGGUACUGAGACACGGACCAGACUCCUACGGGAGGCAGCAGUGAGGAAUAUUGGUCAAUGGGCGCAAGCCUGAACCAGCCAUGCCGCGUGCAGGAUGACGGUCCUAUGGAUUGUAAACUGCUUUUGUACAGGAAGAAACACUCCCUCGUGAGGGAGCUUGACGGUACUGUAAGAAUAAGGAUCGGCUAACUCCGUGCCAGCAGCCGCGGUAAUACGGAGGAUCCAAGCGUUAUCCGGAAUCAUUGGGUUUAAAGGGUCCGUAGGCGGGUUUAUAAGUCAGUGGUGAAAGCCCAUCGCUCAACGAUGGAACGGCCAUUGAUACUGUAGAUCUUGAAUUAUUAGGAAGUAACUAGAAUAUGUAGUGUAGCGGUGAAAUGCUUAGAGAUUACAUGGAAUACCAAUUGCGAAGGCAGGUUACUACUAAUGGAUUGACGCUGUUGGACGAAAGCGUGGGUAGC